rnacentral:rRNA from 1 species
UACGAAGGGUGCAAGCGUUAAUCGGAAUUACUGGGCGUAAAGGGUGCGUAGGCGGUUGUUUCAGUCUGUCGUGAAAUCCCCGGGCUCAACCUGGGAAUGGCGAUGGAUACUGGGCAGCUAGAGUGUGUCAGAGGAUGGUGGAAUUCCCGGUGUAGCGGUGAAAUGCGUAGAGAUCGGGAGGAACAUCAGUGGCGAAGGCGGCCAUCUGGGACAACACUGACGCUGAAGCACGAAAGCGUGGGGAGCAAACAGG